rnacentral:rRNA from 1 species
UUAAGCGACUAAGCGUACACGGUGGAUGCCCUGGCAGUCAGAGGCGAUGAAGGACGUGCUAAUCUGCGAUAAGCGUCGGUAAGGUGAUAUGAACCGUUAUAACCGGCGAUUUCCGAAUGGGGAAACCCAGUGUGUUUCGACACACUAUCAUUAACUGAAUCCAUAGGUUAAUGAGGCGAACCGGGGGAACUGAAACAUCUAAGUACCCCGAGGAAAAGAAAUCAACCGAGAUUCCCCCAGUAGCGGCGAGCGAACGGGGAGCAGCCCAGAGCCUGAAUCAGUGUGUGUGUUAGUGGAAGCGUCUGGAAAGGCGCGCGAUACAGGGUGACAGCCCCGUACACAAAAAUGCACAUGCUGUGAGCUCGAUGAGUAGGGCGGGACACGUGGUAUCCUGUCUGAAUAUGGGGGGACCAUCCUCCAAGGCUAAAUACUCCUGACUGACCGAUAGUGAACCAGUACCGUGAGGGAAAGGCGAAAAGAACCCCGGCGAGGGGAGUGAAAAAGAACCUGAAACCGUGUACGUACAAGCAGUGGGAGCACGCUUAGGCGUGUGACUGCGUACCUUUUGUAUAAUGGGUCAGCGACUUAUAUUCUGUAGCAAGGUUAACCGAAUAGGGGAGCCGAAGGGAAACCGAGUCUUAACUGGGCGUUAAGUUGCAGGGUAUAGACCCGAAACCCGGUGAUCUAGCCAUGGGCAGGUUGAAGGUUGGGUAACACUAACUGGAGGACCGAACCGACUAAUGUUGAAAAAUUAGCGGAUGACUUGUGGCUGGGGGUGAAAGGCCAAUCAAACCGGGAGAUAGCUGGUUCUCCCCGAAAGCUAUUUAGGUAGCGCCUCGUGAAUUCAUCUCCGGGGGUAGAGCACUGUUUCGGCAAGGGGGUCAUCCCGACUUACCAACCCGAUGCAAACUGCGAAUACCGGAGAAUGUUAUCACGGGAGACACACGGCGGGUGCUAACGUCCGUCGUGAAGAGGGAAACAACCCAGACCGCCAGCUAAGGUCCCAAAGUCAUGGUUAAGUGGGAAACGAUGUGGGAAGGCCCAGACAGCCAGGAUGUUGGCUUAGAAGCAGCCAUCAUUUAAAGAAAGCGUAAUAGCUCACUGGUCGAGUCGGCCUGCGCGGAAGAUGUAACGGGGCUAAACCAUGCACCGAAGCUGCGGCAGCGACACUAUGUGUUGUUGGGUAGGGGAGCGUUCUGUAAGCCUGUGAAGGUGUGCUGUGAGGCAUGCUGGAGGUAUCAGAAGUGCGAAUGCUGACAUAAGUAACGAUAAAGCGGGUGAAAAGCCCGCUCGCCGGAAGACCAAGGGUUCCUGUCCAACGUUAAUCGGGGCAGGGUGAGUCGACCCCUAAGGCGAGGCCGAAAGGCGUAGUCGAUGGGAAACAGGUUAAUAUUCCUGUACUUGGUGUUACUGCGAAGGGGGGACGGAGAAGGCUAUGUUGGCCGGGCGACGGUUGUCCCGGUUUAAGCGUGUAGGCUGGUUUUCCAGGCAAAUCCGGAAAAUCAAGGCUGAGGCGUGAUGACGAGGCACUACGGUGCUGAAGCAACAAAUGCCCUGCUUCCAGGAAAAGCCUCUAAGCAUCAGGUAACAUCAAAUCGUACCCCAAACCGACACAGGUGGUCAGGUAGAGAAUACCAAGGCGCUUGAGAGAACUCGGGUGAAGGAACUAGGCAAAAUGGUGCCGUAACUUCGGGAGAAGGCACGCUGAUAUGUAGGUGAAGUCCCUUGCGGAUGGAGCUGAAAUCAGUCGAAGAUACCAGCUGGCUGCAACUGUUUAUUAAAAACACAGCACUGUGCAAACACGAAAGUGGACGUAUACGGUGUGACGCCUGCCCGGUGCCGGAAGGUUAAUUGAUGGGGUUAGCGCAAGCGAAGCUCUUGAUCGAAGCCCCGGUAAACGGCGGCCGUAACUAUAACGGUCCUAAGGUAGCGAAAUUCCUUGUCGGGUAAGUUCCGACCUGCACGAAUGGCGUAAUGAUGGCCAGGCUGUCUCCACCCGAGACUCAGUGAAAUUGAACUCGCUGUGAAGAUGCAGUGUACCCGCGGCAAGACGGAAAGACCCCGUGAACCUUUACUAUAGCUUGACACUGAACAUUGAGCCUUGAUGUGUAGGAUAGGUGGGAGGCUUAGAAGUGUGGACGCCAGUCUGCAUGGAGCCGACCUUGAAAUACCACCCUUUAAUGUUUGAUGUUCUAACGUUGACCCGUAAUCCGGGUUGCGGACAGUGUCUGGUGGGUAGUUUGACUGGGGCGGUCUCCUCCUAAAGAGUAACGGAGGAGCACGAAGGUUGGCUAAUCCUGGUCGGACAUCAGGAGGUUAGUGCAAUGGCAUAAGCCAGCUUGACUGCGAGCGUGACGGCGCGAGCAGGUGCGAAAGCAGGUCAUAGUGAUCCGGUGGUUCUGAAUGGAAGGGCCAUCGCUCAACGGAUAAAAGGUACUCCGGGGAUAACAGGCUGAUACCGCCCAAGAGUUCAUAUCGACGGCGGUGUUUGGCACCUCGAUGUCGGCUCAUCACAUCCUGGGGCUGAAGUAGGUCCCAAGGGUAUGGCUGUUCGCCAUUUAAAGUGGUACGCGAGCUGGGUUUAGAACGUCGUGAGACAGUUCGGUCCCUAUCUGCCGUGGGCGCUGGAGAACUGAGGGGGGCUGCUCCUAGUACGAGAGGACCGGAGUGGACGCAUCACUGGUGUUCGGGUUGUCAUGCCAAUGGCACUGCCCGGUAGCUAAAUGCGGAAGAGAUAAGUGCUGAAAGCAUCUAAGCACGAAACUUGCCCCGAGAUGAGUUCUCCCUGACCCUUUAAGGGUCCUGAAGGAACGUUGAAGACGACGACGUUGAUAGGCCGGGUGUGUAAGCGCAGCGAUGCGUUGAGCUAACCGGUACUAAUGAACCGUGAGGCUUAACCUU